rnacentral:rRNA from 1 species
GUGAAAAAUUUUCGCCAGAGGAUGAGCCCGCGUCGGAUUAGUUAGUUGGUGGGGUAACAGCCUACCAAGGCGACGAUCGGUAGCUGGUCUGAGAGGAUGAUCAGCCACACUGGGACUGACACACGGCCCACACUCCUACGGGAGGCAGCAGUGGGGAAUUUUGGACAAUGGGCGCAAGCCUGAUCCAGCCAUACCGCGUGAGGGAUGAAGGCUUUAGGGUUGUAAACCUCUUUUCUCAAGGAAAGAUAAUGACGACAGACAAUUGAAGAAUCCCCAUCCUGCUUACUCCGCCCCAGCCGCCGCGGUACUAAGGAGGAUACCGUCGUUCUGAGGAACUGGUGGGCGUACGCGUCCGCGGGAGUCCUGUCUAAUCUGCUCAAAGACUAGAGCUCAACUCUGGAAAGGCAGUGGAAACUGGUAAGCUAGAGUACGGUAGGGGUUGAGGGAAUUCCCAGUGUAGCGGUGAAAUGCGUAGAUAUUGGGAAGAACACCAGUGGCGAAGGCGCUCAACUGGGCCGUAACUGACACUCAGGGACGAAAGCUAGGGUAGCGAAAGGGAUUAGAUACCCCUGUAGUCUUAGCUGUAAACGAUGGAUACUAGGCGUUGCUUGUAUCGACCCGAGCAGUGCCGUAGCCAACGCGUUAAGUAUCCCGCCUGGGGAGUACGCACGCAAGUGUGAAACUCAAAGGAAUUGACGGGGGCCCGCACAAGCGGUGGAGUAUGUGGUUUAUUUGGAUGCAACGCGAGGACCCUUCCCACGGCUUACAUCGUCCGGAACGUUGCCAAAACCCCAUGUGCCUUCGGGAGCCGGAACACAGGUGGUGCAUGGCUGUCGUCAGCAGGUGUCGUGAGAAGAUGGGUUAAGUCCUCCAACGAGGGCAACCCUCAUCCUUAGUUGCCACCAUUAAGUUGGGCACUUUAGGGAGACUGCCGGUGACAAACCGGAGGAAGGUGGGGAUGACGUCAAGUCAGCAUUCCCCUUCCGCCCUGGGCUACACACGCACUACAAUCGUUGGGACAAAGGGCAGCCAACUAGCAAGAGUGAGCGAAUCUCUUCAAACCCAGCCUCAGUUCAGAUUGCAGGCUGCAACUCUCCUGCACGAAGGAGGAAUCUCUAGUAAUCUCAGGUCAGCACACUGCGCGGAAUUUGUUCCCGGGCCCUGUACACACCGCCCGUCACACC